rnacentral:piRNA from 1 species
UGAGAAGUUUCAGAGAGGUAGUGAAG